GUAGACAUGCACGUUUUUUUUUGUUGCAAAAACACCCCUCACGACCAGCAUUUACUGAAGAAAGAGAACGACACCGUCGUCUCGUUCGUCGACGGCUUCGGCGCGUACUCCAAAACCAAGCGACGAGGAGCACCACCGCUGUACGAAGCGUUGCAGCUCAGCGACGGCGGCGAGGAUCUGUUGCGCGCGUGGGGAAAUCUGGUGGUGCCAAAGCUGGCCGAGAAGGCGGCGGCGGCGGCAGCGCAAGAUCUGCUCAAGGUGGAUGCGGCUCGGAUGCGCAAGUUUGCUACGGUGCAAUCGCGGAAGUCCCAUGGGGCAGCUGCGUAGGCGGAGUCGCGGCGAGCGGCGACGCAGAUCUGGAAGGACAGGGGGAGCUACAACGGCGGCCAACAAGCAGAGGAGUUCAAGCGGAGGGGCGCAACGGAGGAGUUCAGCCGGAAGAGCAGACGAUUUGGGGCGAUUCAAGGGAGGUACGCUGCACACCUCAUUCAACAAUGGAAGUUGCUUCUUCGCCGGGCGCGACGACCCACUCGCCGGCGAUUCGUCCGGGGGCUGCGUUGUGCAUGCCGUUAUGGCGUUCAGGGGUGCGGCCGUCUGAUCAGAGACGCUCACCCCCCAGCUGUGCACGCAGUCGAAUGAGAUUUUCUACCCGCCGCCGCUGGCCAUCUUGUUUUCUUCUUAGGCGGCCAUGAUCCGGCUCCUUGCCGGACGGCUGGAGCUCGACGCGAGUGCAUCAUCAAGCGAGGGGAAAUUACGACAAGUGCCCGGCCACCCGCGUUGGCAGCUGCUUCGGCGGCGCUGGACAGAGCCCCGGCAUGCAACCAUGGAUGUGUCAAUCUUGAACAGAUCCUGCAACAUGGUAACCCAAUUCUCGAUGUUGCCCAAUUGUCGAUUUAUCUCCUAGUUUCAGCACGUAGCUGCAGUUAGUUUUGAAUUUGCAACAAGAACAACAAUUAUCUUCUCUUUCCCCUCCUUUGCAUUAGGAAUCUGUAAAUGCAAGGGCCAAAAUUGCUGUCAGUCAGGCUGAUAUUUGGUUGUUCACUCAACCUCAAACAUUGCUUCUGUCAGAAUGUCCUCCAUUAUAGAUCGAAACCCACGAGCCCCGUUUCUUUUGCAGCCGCUUUCUUUGCUAUUAGAUGCAAAGCAUUUUCCGUGAAAUACAGCUUGACCUGAGGGAAAACAAGCACAAACAGAUUUCUUGGUUAUGAAGUUUUUUUAAUCAAAGCUUGCAAUUAGUUCGAUGAUCUCUAGAGUAAUCAGACUAACAUUGUUUACUUUGAACAACUUCUUGUAUUGCUUUCCUAUUGCAUUUUUCAGCUCCCUGAGCACCUGAAAAGAGAAUUAGAUAUAGUGCUAAUUGCAAACUUAGUCAAAUAAUUUUACUACCUGGACCAACCGCUCUUCACUGAGAUCUGUCAGGCCAACUAUUAUAGGCAACCUUCCAAUGAAUUCUGGGAUAAGGCCGUAGGCAAUUAGAUCAUCACUUUCGCUCUUAGCAGAAAAUUUUUGUACAUUUUCCUGAAUCGAGUUAAAGAUGAAAUAUUUUUGUACAUGUUCAUAUUCAGUUAGCAUUCAAGUUUAAGAUGAAAUAUCCCAUGGUUGUUAGAUGAAAUAUCUCAGCAUCUACUUGAUACAUUCCAUAAUGAUAUCCUGUUGUAGUGUGUCCAUAAUGAAGUAUUUGAAACAGAAAUUAUUUGCUAAGAAUUGAGGUAAGUUUCCUACACUUCACUAGAAAAUUGUCAUUUUGUCAUUUCUGAAACCUGAUAGUAGAUUGUUUUACAUGAAUUUGUUCUGAAUUUAUUAGAGAGAGUUAGAAUCCUGAACCAGAUUGUUAUCUGUUAGUUUCCAGCAUAGCAUUUGUUAUAUUUUUUUGACACUCCAUGACAUCUGUUUACAUAUGCAGGUUGGGUUUUAGAAGCUGACAAAUUUAAGAGAGCAGUAACCAAUUUGAGUUAAGAAUAAUUCAUUAACUUGCAUUCAGUCUGACCAUUAACUUGCCUUCAGUCAGACCAUUGACUUGCAUUCAAUCUGAAAUGUCUCUGUUUGCUAAAUUACUGCAUACAUCAACUGAAAUGUUCAAUGUUUUUCCAUUUCCAAAUCAAUGUUGUUGUCGUCAGUCUACAGAAGGUAUAAAGGCCUUUUUUUAUUUUGACUUUGUUCUGAAUUUGUUAAACUUGGCACUAUAAAAGUAGACAAAAUAACCUGUUUCAGGGAAUGCACAUACUGCUCUUGGUAUGGUGAGUCAAACUAGUGACUCAGAGCAAUGGCAGUACAGCUGUUUCAAUUUAAGUUUCAGUUUACUAUUAUAUUUAUAAAUGGUAGCAGUCCAUGUUCACUGCUAUUAACGUGACUUGCAAGUGACUGCUCCUAGAACCUCUUGUAUGUCGUGUGUAUGUGUUUUUUUUUCUUGCAGUCUAUCAAUUCAGAUACUGUUCAAAUUUUGACACUCCAUAUGCUUCAGGUGUUGAGGUGUAGUUGCAGGGCUGAUGUCAAAGCUGCAAGGCAAAUGUUUGAAGAAGAUGUUGCCAUCUGUUAUUUAGA